rnacentral:rRNA from 1 species
AUUGAACGCUGGCGGCAGGCCUAACACAUGCAAGUCGAGCGGGGACUUCGGUCCUAGCGGCGAACGGGUGAGUAAUGCUUGGGAAUCUGCCCAGUAGUGGGGGAUAACGUCCCGAAAGGGACGCUAAUACCGCAUACGUCCUACGGGAGAAAGAGGGGGAUCUUCGGACCUCUCGCUAUUGGAUGAGCCCAAGUCGGAUUAGCUAGUUGGUAGGGUAAUGGCCUGCCAAGGCGACGAUCCGUAGCUGGUCUGAGAGGAUGAUCAGCCACACUGGAACUGAGACACGGUCCAGACUCCUACGGGAGGCAGCAGUGGGGAAUAUUGGACAAUGGGCGAAAGCCUGAUCCAGCCAUGCCGCGUGUGUGAAGAAGGCCUUCGGGUUGUAAAGCACUUUAAGCGGGGAGGAAGGUUCGCGGCCUAAUACGUCGCGGAAUUGACGUUACCCGCAGAAUAAGCACCGGCUAACUCUGUG